GUGCCAGCCGCCGCGGUAAUACCGGCAGCCCGAGUGAUGGCCGAUCUUAUUGGGCCUAAAGCGUCCGUAGCUGGCUGCGCAAGUCCGUCGGGAAAUCCACGCGCUCAACGCGUGGGCGUCCAGCGGAAACUGUCUGGCUUGGGGCCGGAGGACUCGAGGGGUACGUUCGGGGUAGGAGUGAAAUCCCAUAAUCCCGCACGGACCACCGAUGGCGAAAGCACUUCGAGAAAACGGAUCCGACAGUGAGGGACGAAAGCCAGGGUCUCCAACCGGAUUAGAUACCCCUGUAGCC
rnacentral:rRNA from 1 species